rnacentral:lncRNA from 1 species
CGCGUCGACUGAGCGAGUGACCACCAUCUCUGUCGACUCGAAGACACCGAGUUCACUACCGUCUUCGCCGAACGAGGAUUGGACGGCAAUUCGUCAGGAGCUAGGCGUUGGGGAUUGGACGGUGGAGUCCAUCCAUGGAGGCUUCACCGUUCCUCAGCGAAUCCGCAACCGACCUGAACGAUCGGUGUGGCUGACCCGAAAUUCCAGCAAUCGGAGUCGGCGUCGGAGCUUCUUCAACCUCCAAGAAAGUCAAGUUAACAAACCGAUCGACGACGUAUAUGAUCACCGACUCGUCGUCCAGAACCGAAUUCGGGUCGACCCGAACGUCGUUGACCUAGACGAAGUCACGGUGAGUGAGUAAUUGGGGAGCAGAGUCUGGAUUUUGGUGCCGCGGUGGAGGUAAGGUAGGGUUUUGACGGAGAGUCGUCGCGACG